GACAGAGGGUGCAAACGUUGUUCGGAAUUACUGGGCGUAAAGCGCGUGUAGGCUGCUUGGAAAGUCGGAUGUGAAAGCCCUGGGCUCAACCUAGGAAGUGCAUUCGAAACUUCCAAGCUCGAGUUUCGGAGAGGAAGGCGGAAUUCUCGGUGUAGAGGUGAAAUUCGUAGAUAUCGAGAGGAACAUCGGUGGCGAAGGGCGGCCUUCUGGACGAUG
rnacentral:rRNA from 1 species